rnacentral:rRNA from 1 species
GGCCCCGCCGGCUCGCACGGGGUGCUCUUCACCGAGUGUCCCGAGUGGCYGGCAUGUUUACUUUGAAAAAAUUAGAGUGCUCAGAGCAGGCUACAUGAAUUGGCCUGAAUGUCUAUGCAUGGAAUAAUGGAAUAGGACCUCGGUUCUAUUUUGUCGGUUUUCCUCGGAACCCGAGGUAAUGACUAAUAGAAACAGGCGGGGGCAUUWGUAYUGCGACGCUAGAGGUGAAAUUCUUGGACCGUCGCAAGACWAACWACUGCGAAAGCAUUURCCAAGKAUGUUUUCAUUAAUCAAGAACGAAAGUUAGAGGUUCGAAGGCGAUCAGAUACCGCCCUAGUUCUAACCAUAAACGAUGCUGACCAGCGAUCCGCCGGCGYUAUUCCCAUGGCCCGGCGGGMAGCUUCCGGGAAACCAAAGUCUUUGAGUUCCGGGGGAAGUAUGGUUGCAAAGCUGAAACUUAAAGGAAUUGACGGAAGGGCACCACCAGGAGUGGAGCCUGCGGCUUAAUUUGACUCAACACGGGGAACCUCACCAGGCCCAGACACUGGAAGGAUUGACAGAUUGAGAGCUCUUUCUCGAUUCGGUGGGUGGUGGUGCAUGGCCGUUCUUAGUUGGUGGAGUGGUUUGUCUGGUUAAUUCCGAUAACGAACGAGACUCUGGCCUAUUAACUAGUCGACGGAUUUCCAUUAAUUGGUGUCCAGUUCCCAAGUUCUUCUUAGAGGGAUAAGCGGCAAUUCUAGCCGCACGAGAUUGAGCAAUAACAGGUCUGUGAUGCCCUUAGAUGUUYUGGGCCGCAC